CCAUCACUGGGGUUGGUUUUAAAAGUCUUAUCCGGGCACGGUGCCGCCUGUAAUCCUAGCACUUUGGGUGGCCUAGGUGGGUGGAUCACCUGAGGUCAGGAGUUCAAGACCAGUUUGGCUAUCAUGGUGAAACCCCAUCUUAAAAAAAAAAAAAAAAAAAAAGUCUUAUCUGAAAUUCCUGGUGGAAUAGAAUUUCACCAAAGCUGAUCCAAAAGGCCUAUGUAGAAAUAACCGUUCUUGCUAUACUUAUGCAAAUAAUCAGGCCAAUUAUAAGACUAAAGUUUAUUCUAUGAACAACACACACAGCCCUAUUAUAAUUUGCUUUUACCAAAAAUGAGGACUGGAGAGAAAAGUUGUGCUCCAAAGCUUAUCAUACAUUUGUCAUUAAAUCCUAGUCUCAUUAAUCGUUUUUAAGCCUUUUGCCUACAUUUAAGACUAAUCCUGCUUAUUCCUGUGAAUCAAGUGGUGAUUUCCUGCAGCUUGGAAGAAAGAAAAAGGGAUGGAUAAUGUAAAAAAUCUGGAUCAAUAUGCUAGUUCUCGGCAAUUAUCCUGCAAAUUCUGCAAGGUAAUGAAAGUGAGAAGGGUGUCCAUAACCUGGAGGUUUCUUUCUUUGGGAAAAUAAAACCAAGGAACUUCAGAGACCCCCAAAGGGAAAUUCUAUAUCUUGAAUUAACACCUCUAGUAAAAGUAGAGGAAAAUCUACAGGUACUUAAAGAUCAACUCAAAAUCAUUGACAGGCUCAGGGAAAAUGCCGGCUUCAGCCCCAGGUAGCUACAAUUUCUCCUUAAUGAAUUCCAGUCUUCCUUAUGAAGCUGGUUAACCCCUUUAUUAAGCCCUCCCUUGCUUAUGUCUUGUAUUGAUUGGACCCUGUAUACUCAAUACUAGAACUCGAAUUGUUUCUUCUCGCCUGGAAGCAAUCAAACUCCAAUGGUGCUCCAAACUGAAACACACAUGGACAUGCUAUUCUUUUGAGGACCCUUAGAUCCACCUCAGGAGGAGCCCUAGCUGCUGUUCCCCAUUGGACGCCCUCUUUCAGCAGGAAGUAGCCAGAAAGAGUCCUCACCCAAAACCCCCUAACAGCAGUUAGUGUGACAUCUCCACAGGGAGGAAUGUUGUAGGAGUUAUGAAGAAAUUAUUUUAGGCGGAUAGAGAGGAAAAGGGGUCCUUGGGAAGUUUUCAUUUUUAAAGCUGCUCUGGACACGUUUCUUGUAAAGCCCUGGCAGAGCCAGGUGAGGAACCUUUGAUAUGCAAAUGUAGGCCGUUAGAAACUGGGUCUACCCAAACCGGGAAAUUCUCGUCCUCUUCUUGCCCUUUCUCCGCAAAUGCCUAGCAGCAUGGCCGCCCCCCACAUAUCCCCACGUGUGUAGAAUAUCAUGGUGCCCUGCAUUUGCUGAUUAAAAGGCCAGGGUGGGAGGGCCAGCUUUUUCGAGGGCUACGUGAAUGACAGGCCUGGUCAAACCAAUCCCCUGAUCCCUAUGCAAAUCAGACACUCUCUCCUCCAGCCUACUCAUAAAACUGGUUGAUAUCAUCGGCCCCUGUGGCACUUGGGGUCUUCUCUUUCGGCUUUGGAGCCCCCUUCCUCUGUCUCUGUACAGGGGAGCCUGUUCCUUCUACCUUCUCUUUUCUUUCUUGCCUAUUAAACUCUCCACUCCUUAAAACAAAAACAAACAAACAAAAAAAGGAUUUUGUUAUUCCCAAUAAAGCUCUGCCACCCAGGAGAGCGUCCCUGCUGUAGGGGUGAGCCAUGCAAAACCAUCCCACACUUGCCAGUGUGAUCCCCAUUGCUGGGAUAUGGUAUUUUUCAGGGCAGUUCUGUCUUUGGUGCUUGCCUCCCUGCAGGACAUGUUUAGAGAAAACCUUACAUUAUGUCCAGGAUUGCUCAAUGUCACAUCCCAUGUUUGAGUGUGUGAUGUCAGAAGUAUCUAGGAUACCCAUUUCCCUGCGUUCAUAAUCCACAUUUGCAGAGAUCCAGUCUUCACUCAGCAGCAGCUCAGCCUGUCAUGGAGUUCCUCCUUGGCUGCUCAGGGGCAUAAGACCACAUAGCCAGGGGUUAGAUUGGCCUUGCAUACAGGCUGGGUGAUGGGCCCAGGCCAGGAAAAUGUCCUCUGAGGAUAUUCAGGCCCUAGUGGGAAUGAUAUAACAGAAAAAGAGAAGGAUGCUCAGGUUAACAGCAAAAAGACAAGGCUGCUGAGCUUAUUGCAGAGGGAAGGUCUGGUACUAGUUUUGUCAUACAGGUUUGGCAGGAGGCUGUGAGAAUCUCUCCUGGGGGGUUUGCUAGACCUCUGUCUCAAUGUGAGAGGAGCUGCUGACUCCACAGUGACAGGGCUGGGUGAGAUCCACUGGACUAGUGCCACUCCAGUGCCCACCAGUAUGGGGUACUGCCUGCCUACUGCCUGUGCAUCUCCCAGGGCCUUUAUCAAAAAGGAAAGGGUCGGGUUCAGGGCGGGGGUGUGCCCCCUGCCUCAGGGGAAGAAGGAUAGCAGUCCAGCCUGGUGGCAUUUUCUAUCCUAGGUCCCAUCUCAAAGUUCCCUGAUCAGAUGUUACGGGACAAGAGGAGUGCAAAAUCAGGGCAUUCUGUGUGGAACUGAGUUCUGUUCUGAAGACAGUGUCUCACUUUUUCCAUACCCGCACGGCUUGCACCAGGUUAUUUACGUCUUCCCGAUGUUCAUAAGAUGACAGUUUUCCCACAACAGGGGGUGCAUUCAAGGCAUGUAUAGCUUCCAUGAAAACCACAACCCAAUUUCUCAGUGAGGAGAGUCCUAUCAAGAGCUUAAUUCAUUCCCUUAGGAGGCCAUUUUUUUCUCUCUAUAAUUCCUGCUCCCGGUUGCUGGAAGGGCAGAUGAAAUUGCCUCUUUUUCAGUUCCAUCUUGGAUUAGGGACCUUGUGCAAUGUGUUCCUUGAUCACUGAUGGUAGUUCUUGGGGUACCAUCCGUUAGUUGCAAGCAUUGCAAACCCCGUACAAUCGCUGUCUGAUUUACUUUUCCGCAGGGGAGAGCCCGCAAGAGGCCAUUCACAGUGUCUACCCUUGUGAGUGCAUAUCAAUGUCUCUUACUGUUAGGGAAUGGGCCAAUAUAAUCUAUUUGCCAUGCGUCCAUGGCAAAUAGAUUUCUCCCCUCUUUUUAUGUUUCUAGUGGCCCCUGGCACUUGUCAAGGUCAGGCUUGGCAACAGACAGGGCAAUUUUGUAUUAUCUUUUUUAUUUCUUGUUUGGACGCUGGCAAACCAGCUUGUUGGGUCAGUUUCAAAGUAGUGUGCAGCCUGCUAUGACCUCCCAUCCAAUGUAUCCAAUGUGCUAUACCUGCUCCUUCAGAGAUGACCAGAGACCUGGCGUGGGCGAGAGUACCUACAUCUGUAUUUCCACUGGGGGAUGACUGUUGGUAAGAUGCAAUGUGGAACACUGUGACUUCAGUCCCUGGUUGGUGUAAUUGAUCCCAAAUGUUUGCCCAUAGUUCUGCCUCCCACAGCAGCUUUCCAUUUAUGGACCAUUGAUCCUUUUCCCAUUGGUUAUCCACAGCGUCAACCCCUUUGUGACUGCCUGGGAAUCAAUAUACAGAGCUACUGGGUGUGGCUAUGUAUUAAGCCAUUCUUGCAUUGCUAUAAAGAAAUACCUGAGACUGGCUAAUUUAUACAGAACAGAGAGGUUUAAUUGGCUCAUGUUUCUGCAGGCUAUACAGGAAGCAUAGCACCAACAUCUGCUUCUGGGGGGACCAGUACGCUUUUACUUAUAGCAGAGGGUAAAAGGGGAGCCUGCAGUUCACAUGGCAAAAGUAGGACCAAGAGACAGAGUAUGGUUGUCGGGGGUGGAGGUGUUAUAUACUUUUAAAAGACUAGUUCUCAUGUAAACUCUGAGAGCUCACUUAGCACCAGGGGGAUGGCCCAGGCCAUUUGUGAUGAUGUCAAACUUGACUGGAUUGAAGGAUGCCUAGAUAGCUGGUAAAGUAUUAUUUCUGGGUGUGUCUGUGAGGGUGUUGCCGGAGGAGAUUCACAUUUGAGUCAGUGGGGCUGGCAGACGAAGACCCACCUUCAGUGUGGGUGGGCACCAUCCCUUUGGCUGUCAGUGUGGCUAGAACGAAGCUGGUGGGAAAAGGUGGGAUAACCUUGUUUGCUGAGUUCUCUGGCUGCCUUCUUUCUCCCAUGCUGGAUUCUUCCUCCCACUCCUCCUGCCCUUGGUCGUUAGACUUCAGGUUCUUUGGCCUUUGGACUCUGGCACUUGCACCAGUUGUUUGCCAGGAGCCCUCAGGCUUUUGGAUGUAGACUGAAGGCUGCCUUGCUGGCUUCCCUGGUAUGAGGCUUUUAGACUCAGACUGAGCCACUGCUGGCUUCUCGCUUCCCCAGCUUGCAGAUGGCCUAUUGUAGGACUUAGCCUUGUAAUUAUGUAAGCCAACUCUCCCUAAUAGACUCCUAUAUAUAGGAGACGUGUAUCUAUUUAUCUGUCUUACUUGUUCUGUGCCUCUAGAAAACCCCAACUAAUAUGCCAUUCAUGAGGGAUCUGCUCACAAGAUCCAGAUACCUCCCACCAGGCUCCACUUCCAACACUGGGGAUUACAGUUCAACAUGAGUUUGGGCAGGGACAAAUAUCCAAACUAUAUCAGGCUUUUUCAUAACCACUAAGCAGGUUAUCUUGUAAUUCUGCCCACUGGCUGCAACACCCCAUUCCAGGUUCCACCCCCAUCGUAUCAGUGGCUAGUGGAAUAGCCACUGCAGUCCACCGGGGUGGCUAACCCACGCUGGAGCCAUCUGUGUACCGAGCAUCCUUGGGUGGGUUCCUAUCUCUGUCCUUUAUUUAAUGGGGUUUCUCUGGGCGUGGUGUUGGGAUUGAUUUUAAAUCUACACUGUGUUGUGCAGGUCCCAGCGGUUCUGUAGACAGAGGGCUAGAUGGAAGGUGCCCUCUCUGCUCGAGAUAUGCAUACCACCUAAACAGAGUCCUGUUGUGCUCUGGCUGAUGGAGGUCUGGCAAAUAGACCAUCAACCCAAACCCUGAUAGGAUAGUCUGUUUUUACUUCCACUAGCAUAUCUCCAGUUAGGGCCUCUGUUUGCAAGAGGACUUGGUAAACUGCAAAGAGUUUUCAUUUUUUCCAACAGGGUAUAGCAUUGCUGGGCUCCCCUGAACAAUCGUGACCAAAAGCCAAUGGGCAUUCGUUGGUUACCCUUCCUCUGCCAGAGGGUCCAACCCAUUGUUUUCCUGAGUCACAGAAACACUGAAUUCAAAUGGUCUCUGAGGGGUGACAAUUUACAGGACUUGUGCUUGCAUCACUAAGGCCCUCCUCUGAGUAAAGGAGGCUUCUUUAGUGCCCCAGUCCUGAUAUGCAUUCUUCUUUAUUAGGAGCUAUAAUGGUCUGAGACAUAGGGCCAAGUAGGGAACAAAGGUCUGUCAAUAUUCUAACAGGCCUUCGAAGGGUUGUAAUUCUAUAAUGGCGUGGGGCCGUGGGUAAACCUGUAUCUUGUCACUCAUGGCUGCUGGCUUACCUGACCAGACCACACCCAGGAAUUUUACAGUGGCCCCUGGCCCCUGGCCCCUGGACUGUCUUUGGGUUGUCAGUCCAUCUUCUGGAUUGCAGGUGCUCUAGAAUCUUUUGGGCACCUUCUGCAAAAGACCCAAAUCUGCAGAAGUUAGCAAAAUAUGUCCACAUAAUGAUUUCAGAGACUGCCAGACAUAUCACUCAAAAUGGCCAGGUCUCUGGCUACCAAGCCAUGGCAGAUAGUGGGGCUAUGCAAGUACCCUGGGGGAGCACCUGAAAGGUCCUCCCAGGUGAAGAAAAUAAUGUUCUGGGACUUUGGGUCUAAGGGUGCUAAAGAAAGCCCGUGCUAAAUCCAGGACAGUAUGCCAUAUACCUAAACAAGUAGCCAGGCUUCCCAGUAUUUAAGCCACAUUUGGAAUAGUGUCAUGUCUGGGCAGAGUCAUCUUAUUUAGUUCCCAGCAAUAAGCCAUCAUUCUCCAGGUGCCACAGGCUUUCCUGCCCACUAUACAGGGCUGUCGUAUGAACUGUGUGUAGAAUGCACAAUCCUCACUCUCUCCACUCCCUGAAGAGUAGCCAUUGUUUUCUUGGUGCCCACCUGGGAGAUGGAAGAGUUGGCAGCACCAGCCCACUCCUCCUGCUCAUGCCAUCUGUAUGGGUUCCACAGCCCCUCAUCCUCAGCCUGCAUGAGCCACCUGCCACUCUGCUGCCCCGCCAGUCUGCGCCAGGCUGCCUGUCCACACCAUGGCCGCUGCUGCAGACCCCACUUCUGUCCAGCACAACCUGACCGUGUGUGACGGUUAAUACUGAGAGUCAACCUGAUUGGGUCAAAGGAUGUAAAGUAUUGUUCCUGAGUGUAUCUGUGAGGAUGUUGCCAGAGGAGAUUCACAUUUGAGUCAGUGGACUGGGAGAAGAAGACCCACCGUCAACAUGGGUGGGCACCAGCCAGUCAGCUGCAGUAUAAAGGAAGGCAGAAGAAGGUGGACUAAGCUGGCUUACUCAGUCUUCCGGCCUUCAUCUUUCUCCCAUGCUUAAUGCUUCCUUGAACAUCAGACUCCAGGAUCUUCAGCCUUUGGACUCUUGGACUUACACCAGUGGUCCCCAGCAAAUGACAGAAGGCUGUACUGUCGGUUUGUCUGCUUGUGAGGUUUUGGGACUUGGACUGAGCCACUACUGGCUUCCUAGCUCUUCGGCUUGCAGACAGCCUGUUGUGGGACUUCACCUUCUGAUCAUGUGAGCCAACUCUCUUUAAUAAAUUCUCUUUCAUAUAUACAUUUAUCCUAUUAGUUCUUUCCCUCUGGAGAACCCUGACUAAUACACCAGGCCACUACUGCAGCCACUGUCCACCCCUGGCCACCGGAGACUGGGUCUCCUGGUGCCUCCUCUUUUCCACUUUUUUCUUUUCUUUUAUUUGUCUCUCCACCACCAGCAGGUAGUACUCAGAACUGCCACCACCAUCCAAAGCUCCCGUGGUGGCAAAACUGACGCUGCAGACUCCUCAGGCACCUCUCUGCAGAGCACCCUUUCUCCGUUUUUCUUCUCUUGGGUGUGUAUGUAACUGACAGAGUGGUGGUGCUGCACAUGCCUUUUUCCAGCGGGUUCAUCAGUGUUUGGAAACCUCUGUCAGGGUGCUGGCUCCAUGGACUACAUCCUCUUCUAGCAUCAUCCUCGCCUGGACCCACCCCAUGUUCACUGUUCCAUGGGACUCUGCAAUGCUGGACCUUAGCAUAUACACUGAGGGUCCCUGCCAGGACCCACCCACUAAAGAAAGGACCUAAAUCACUCCUAUAUUGUCUCUUGAUGGAAGAACAGAAAAUACAUCACACAGGGCUCUCUCCUUUGUGUCUUCCCCAUAGAGGUCGUAUUUGCUGGCAAUGUAGUUGAGAAUUUCUCUGGUCUGCGCCAGCUUCAUCCCAUCAAUCUCAACAUUGGCACUUUCUGGAACAUCAAAUUCCCAUCUUUAGAAAGAAGGAAAAGCAAGGAGAGUGAAAUGUCUAUGAAUCCCACUCUUUUAGGAGGAAAAGAUGGUUGUGGAAAUGACUAAAUUUGUGAAAUAAAAAAGAAAUUAUUGCCCGAUAAGAUUUCACUUGAAAGUGCAUUUUUAAAAAGCUUCCUGUACUCCUUCUUUUUGUUAACAAGCUUCCUUUUACUUUUUAUUGUGUUGUUUCAUUUAUGUUUUUAUUUCCCCUCCAGAUACGUAGUAGGACUCUUGUCUUUUUUGUGUUGAUUUAUCUUCAUGGAUAUUUUAGGAAGAUGUUGGGAUAGGUUACAACAGGACUGCCAGUAGGAUGCCAUUUAAAACGGGAGGUUCCCAGAAUAAGUCUCAUAACGUUUGUGACAUUUAAGGCAGGUUCUGAGAGGUUUUUAUGUAAGGGUUCCUUUCUGUGCUCUUCAAAGCCUGCAAUAUUGCUUUACUAUUACCUUGUCACACCCCCCAUGAAAGAACAAAACUCAAGACAAUGGCCACAUCUAUUUCUCUUCCUUUCAUCUAAUCCAUGUCCUUGCAUGUCUUUGGAUGGGGAGGCCUGUGUGGGAUCCUGAGCUGAUCACCACAGCUCAUUCAUGGUGACCUAAGCAUGAAAACAAGGAAAGGGCAUUCUCAGGGCGCUGGGGAUAGUUCUUGUAGCAAAUACACUGAGAACUCUAGUCCUUUCAGCCUGGAGGGAGUUGCCAGACCUGAUCAAAGAGCCACAGCCCUUCCAUUUUAAACAGUUACUCCCUCUCCACCAUGCGCAAAUACCACCCUACAUAAACAUACGCAUUGCCGGCUGUUCAAAUUUCCUUGUGUACCUUCUACUACACACCCUCAUCAGAGGCACUUAGAGACUUCAUCUUACCAUUUCUGAACUUGUCCAAAUCCUCUGCAGAUUCUAGAAAUUUCUCAUCAAACUGGAAGCAGAAAGAGUAAAUGGGUUUUUGUUCAUUCCAUCGCAUUAUAAACUUUUGACUUUGAAAAGCCCCUAUCUGGCGCAUCAUUUGGAGAAUAUAAUAUUUCUAAGUUUGGCAGUGCACACGGAGGGGCUGGUCAUGGCCGUUUGUAAAUUUAGACCUGAUUCAUCGAGGAAAGGGCAUGGGUCACAGUACAGAUCUGCUCAGUCUUCUCAUUCGUUUCACCUCCAGCCUGGUCUCACGAAUGUCUACGAUUAGGUCAUGUUUUGAGAGGGGAUGUCACUAGAGGAUUCUCUAGUUUCACCUCCUACUGUAUUUUCUCUAUUGUGUCUGUAUUUCUCUAUUGUGUCUUUCCCUGCGUUAAUUUGACAUGAUGUAUUCAAUAUCAGCUUUCCCCCUAGACCUUGAGCCCCUGAGAGCAGAGCCUUCUUGUUUGAGUCCAGUCCUCAAUGUCCUGUAUAAAACCUGGACAUCGUAGGAGCUCCUAAAAUAAGAUAGCUUUUAAAUUUACAUGGAAAAAUUCUAGCAAAUACAAAAGUAGAGAGAAUCAUAUAACAAGCCUGAAGGUACCCGUGACCUGGAUUCAUCAAUUGCCAGCAACCUUCCUUCAUCAAAUACCAUGCGAUGGGUUAAGUUGUAUUGGCUCCCAAGAAAGAUAGGUCCAUGUCCAAAUCCCUGGUUCCUGUAAGUGAGAUCUUAUUUGGAAAAAGGCUCUUUGCAGAUGUAAUGAAGUUGGGGAACUUGAGAUGAGAUCAUCCUGGUGUAUCCAGAUAGGCUCUAAAUCCAAUCACAAAUGUCCCUGCAACAUAGACAACAGAAGACACAGACACACAGAGGCUGAGGUGCUGGAAGCCCCAGGCAGAAAGUAGAGUGACGUGGCCAUGAUCCAUGAAAGUCCAGAAAUGCCAAGAGCCCCCAGAAGGUGUAAGAGGCAGGGAAUUAUUGUUCCCUAGAGCUUCCGGGGGAAUCUGGCCCUCACACCCUGACUUCAGACUCCUGGCCUUCAGAAUUGUAAGAAAAAGUAUUUCUGUUUUUUCAAGCCACCCAGUUUGUAGGAAUCUGUGAGAGGAACCACAAGAAAAUAAUACAAAGUCCCACCUACUCCCCGCACUACCCGGGGAUUCUUUUGAAGCAAAUCCCAGACAGCAUAUCAUUUAAUCUGUAAAUACUAGUAUUGCUCUCUAGAAAGGAAGAACUUCUGUUCUGAACAUAGUCACACGAUUCUCUUAUCAUAUUAAAAUUCUAUAAUUCCUCAAUUUCAUUAAAGUUUCAGCAUUCUAGUUCACGUAAGUGUCCCAUGAAAAUUUCUUAGCUGUUUGUUUAUUUUGGUCAGCAUCCGAGCAAGGUCCUUACAAAGCAUUUGAGGAAUGUGGGUCAAUAUUUUUUUAAGAAAUUAAUGAAUGAAUACAGAUAGAUAGAGUGUGUGGGGAUUUGUGAGUUCUGAAAGCCCAGUCUCGUAUACCCAGGUUCUGGAGGCGUGAUAGAGCUGUGCAUGGAUCUGUGCAGAUGUCAUUGCCCAUUGGUGAUGAGCCACUGGGGACCCAGCAGGCCAAUCCCCACACCAUGAGCUCACAGGACAGUGGAGCAGACACAGUGGCCUUCAGGUGUUAUUAGAGGCUCACUGGGGCUCUGUGGAGAGCACAGAGGACAGCCCCACUGCUCCUGGGAAGCAGUGAGGUAACGUUAAGUGUGGCCACUGGGAAGAAGCUUGCCAGGCAGGGGUAACAAAUGCACCCAGGCAGAAAGGCAAGAGGCCCUAACCAUGCUCAGAGGGUUGAUUGGGCUGGAGAUCAGGGAGUGAGGAUGGGUGUGAGGAUACGUUCUGUAUGCAGUGAGGAAUUCUGUGAUUUUGUGUGUGUGUGUGUGUGUGUUUUAGAAAAACUACUCUUGUUAUAAGCAGAGAGGAGACGAGAGCAAAGUGAAGCUGCAGGUAAAAAGACUAUCGGUGGUCACAGUCAUGAGAGAAAUCGGUGGAAUCACUGCCAGUAAUCACGGAUGCUGUGCUGGGAUUUACCAUGUCUAUUGUGGUUUGUUCUGUGCAUAAACUUAGUGUGAGUCAAAUGGCCAAAGACCUGCCUCCUGAGUAAUCCUGAGAGUCCCUGGCACAGCCAUCUCAGCCAUGUUCCUCGCCCUCUCUCAUCAUUUUACACCUCCCAGGCCCACUUCUAUGCCCCAUGUUAGCAGUUCCUCCGAUUACUCCCAUGAGAUAUAAUUCCACAGCCCUCUCCGUGUGCUGUUGCCCAGCUCUGGCCAUGUGUGCCUUUCCUGAGACCCCACCUAAAAGAUUGACUUCCUUGGUGAAAUUCUCUAUACAGUUACAACCAGUGCAAACUUUUCCUCUUUCGUGUCAAACUGGGGUUUCACAAUAUUUUUUUAAAACAACAGCUUUAUUGAUGUAUAUUCACAUACUAUAAUUGCCACCUGUUAAGUAUGAGUGGUUUUUAGUGCAUUCACAGAAUUCUGUAAAAAUCAUCACAGUCUAUUUCCAGAAUAGUGUUUAUCACCCUGAUAAGGACAUCUGUACCAUUAGCAGUAUUCGUCCCCAAGCCCCACUCCUUCAGCCCCAGGCAAACACUAAUCUACUUUUUGACUCUAUGGAUUUGAGUAUUCUGCACAUUUCAUAUGAAAACAAUCCUACAA